rfam:Haemonchus contortus, ISE/inbred ISE, WGS project CAVP01000000 data, contig: Hcontortus_3025
GGCACAAACUUGAAGUAAAGUAGGUUUGUAUGGUCAGCUGAUCCUACUUAUCUAAUUUACUUCAAAUUUGGGCCC